UCUCCGUUGGUGAACCAGCGGAGGGAUCAUUACCGAGUUUACAACUCCCAAGCCCCUGUGAACAUACCUGUUUUGUUGCUUCGGCGGUGCCCUCGCUCUCGCGGCGAGGCCCGCCAGAGGACCCAAACAAGCUCUUUGACUUUGAUCUAGGAUUAUACUUCUGAGUGAUACAAAAAAUAAAAUCAAAACUUUCAACAACGGAUCUCUUGGUUCUG
rnacentral:misc_RNA from 1 species